AUUAUUCCUCUAAUUUUAAGUAAAUGCACCCUGUUUAUGUGAAUAUUUUUAUUUGGUGUUAUAAGUUUGCUCACAUUGGAAACCAUUUUGGGGUCAUUUCUUCCAUGUAGCAUCCAUUUUGUGGUGACACUGAGCCAACAUUCUAUCACAUAUAUAUAGACACAGAAUGGUACACAUAUUAUGUUUGGAUGAUCAUAUAGAAAUGCACAACUCUUCAACGCUAAUAUGUGUAAAAUCAUUGAACUGCAAUUUUCACUUUGAACAGAAAAUGAAAAAUAGCAUUAAUAUAACCAAGCAAAACGAAAAAAAAGGAAAGAAAAAUAGCAUUCAUAUAACAUGUGCUAACUAGCAACUUCAUUCAUUCCCUCUAGCUUUUGAGUUUUCUUUAAACAAUAAAUUUUGAGUCAGUAUUUUUACAGCAUAUCAUUUAUUAUUUGUUCUUGCACCCAUCUAGAAUUCAUGCAGAUGCAUACUACAUACAAUCUCAUCAACUAAAAUCCUGUAUGCUGCUAUGAAGGUUCUGAAAUUGGGAAGGCACCAUCUGGAUACAAAUAUUAUUGUGGACUUAACGUGUUUAUGUCCAUGGUGUCCCAAAAUGCAGCAGUACGUGAUUACAGCAUUUAGGAACUUUUGCUUAAAAUCUCUGGAUGGUUAAACUUCUCCAGAGAUAGGUGCUGCUCACUCUUGCUUAUGGUUAUCUUAUUCAGUCACUCUAGUGCUACUGCAUCCAUAUGGAUUAUGUUAUUGUUACAACCCUAGGGUUUGGAUGGGAAAUUGAGAAGAGUACAGGGAAGAAUGAGACAGAAAUGGAGGGAGACAGCAAGAAUAGAAGUAGAAUGGAGAGGAAGGGAGAGAAGAGCACAAAGAUGCAAGAGAGAAAUGUCAGAGAGAAUUCAAGAGAGAGAAACAUUCAAUCAAUUAGUCAAAAAACUCCUCCGAAAGAGCCUCUCAGGUAGCUUAUAUAGCUACUCUUACUGUUUGUGCUUUCAGUUAUCCUUUUUAACUGAAAGUAUUACAACUUCUCAUCUAAAACAUAAAUCUAACUAAGAAAUACUAGUUGUAAAAGAAAAAAUACAAAUCAGUAAUUGCCACAUGCUUUAGUGACCAUUAUAUCCUAGGGUCAUGACAAUCCCCUCUCCUUAAAAGAUUUCUUGUCCCCAAGAAAUCACAGCAAAGUUUUGAAGUGAUUAUGGCCAUUGAUUCUGCAUGCCUCCCGAAGAAAUUACUUCAUCCAAUUCCCAUCUUCACCAUCUAGUUUCUUCUUCAUCUUUUCUUGUUCUUAUAUCUUAGUUCUCUUUUCUUUUGCCUUUCCGUUUCUUUUUCUCCAAAAACAACAAUACUGUGAUUUGUUGCAACACCUAGUUCGACCAUCCACCCAUUCCCUAUUGCUAUCAGAAUUAAUUCCAAUUGACCUAUCAUAGCUUCCACCAUAUCAUCUCUAGUAGUAGAGAGAAAUUCAAACUGCUUUGCAAGCCAAAACCAAAUUCAAUGUUGCUGCUCUCGAAUGAGAAUUUGAACAAGCACAACAGCAAGAGUCUCGUUCCCCUCAACAACAAAUUCCUCCACCAUUUUCCCAGCAUCUUCUCCUUCCUCAUCUUCAGUAGAGGUCUCCUCCAUUAUCUUUUACUUCCUGCAAAUAUAAACUAUGAUCCCCACCAACAUCUUUGCUUGAUCUCUCUUCCUUGCUAGAGUUUUUAGUUACAACUGGCCGGUCUAACUCCAAUUUUUCCUUUGAUUCUUGCUCGACAUGAUUUGCAACCUUAGAAGCUCCUUCAAUCUGUUGGCUACUCUCAGACCUCAGUAGAUCCGUUAGGAUGCAGCCAUCUUGACCAUUGACCUUAGUUCGUCUUUCAAACCACUAAUAAAAUUGGAAAUGUAGUAUCGCUCCGUUAAGGCAGGUUGCAAAGUCAACAUCAAAGGCCUUAAUUCUUCAAACCAACCUGUUUAAGUUUAUGAAAUUCAUCAAUCACAUAGAUUAUUAACUUCUCUCCCGACCGGUCACCUCGAUCCUCCACAAACUCAAUCCAAUUAACCUCAAUUUUAGUUGGAAUACUGACUGGAUACAUCCUAACAAGUCGAACCAGCAAUUCGUCCAUUCGGUCCAGCUUUUUGCUUGAAGUUAGCGCAACUUUUCUCCCACGAUUACACAAUACUUUCCCUAGUUUUCUCAGUUCCUCUGGUCGCUGCCAUUUCCACAGUUCGUCUACUUCCAAUUAUCGUUUAUGAUCACUUCCAACUAGACGAACUGAAUAUUACAAUGUUUUAAUAGAAUUGUGGCACGAAAUCAAACUGUUAGGUUGUAUGGUUGUGUAUAUAGUACACCUAGGGUUAAUCUUAAGUUAUAAGCCGUGGCCCAUGGCCCGUUUAGUAUUUUGUAUAUAUAUAGGUGUAUAGUUUAUGAGUUUAAUUAAUUGAAUAUACAUACCAAAAGCUAGGGUUUUCUUUCUCUAAGCUUCACAUGGUAUUAGAGCCAAAAUACAAACCCUAGCCGUCGUCGCCGCCAACCGCCGUAGCUUGCCGUGUUACCGCCGUCGUUACCCACCAUGUUCUCGUCGCUCGCGCUACUGAUCUGCAUCGGUUCUCCAUCGUUCGGCCAUCGAUCACACGCACAGCCGUCAUAGUUGCAUUCGCCAGCCUCCGAUCUGUCGAACCCCGGAGGCCCAUCGCUGUUGUCGUUGCCACGCGCUGCCUCUCUCGCACUGUUCAUGAAGACCUUUUUUUUGCUUCGAUCUCUCUCUCCAAUGCUCUGAUCGGAACGCCGUCUUCAUCGUUGGACUCGCCUCCUUCAGUUCAUCCCAGUCCCAGUGAUUUUGUCGCCAGCCUUCGCCAUCAGCCGUCGCUCCAGCACGCCUCCUCUGCUUCAUUUUUUGUGUUAGAUUAUCCAUCCUUUCUUUUUGGCUUAUUUAACCCCUUUUGUUUCAAAUCUAUUAAUCUUGUAGGGCUCCCUUUCAUCCAAGAUGGAUGGUACAAGUAAAUCUGGCUCUUUCUUUGGUAUUCUGUCUCUCUCUCUAGCCAUUGCUAUUGAGAAGCUAAUGGGCAGUUCCAAUUAUAUCUCCUAAUCCAAGGUGGUUGAACUAUGGUGUAUGGGUCAAGGUUUACAAGAUCAUCUAACUACCAAGGCUAAGAAUGUGACCACAGACAAAACUGAGUGGCAGAGAGCUGAUGCUUUGUUGUGCAGUCUCCUGUUGCAGUCAAUUGAUCCUACUCUUCAUCUGAUCUAUACUAACUAUAUCAUGUGCUGUGAAUUGUGAUCUCAUGCCAAGGCGUUAUAUACAAAUGACAUUCAAUGUCUGUAUUCAGUGUUGUCUAAUUUGCUUAGUUUACGACAAUAGGGUCUUAACUCUUCCUGAUUUUCUUGGUCGGAUGGCCUCUAUUAAAGUUGAAUUUAACUCCUUGUUACCUGUCGGUAAGACCACUGCUGAGGAUCUCGCUCAGCGGGAUAAGUUCUUCAUGGUGUGUACGCUUGCUACCAUUGAUCCUAAGCUUGCUCCUGUUCGAUUCUAGCUAGUCCUACUAUACCUACUAUGGAUGAGGUGUAUUCUCGUCUUCUUCGGGUUUCAUCUGUUCCUACAAUGCCUCUCUCUUCCGCAGGUGAUCAUUUAGUUGUGGCUUCACAGGUUCAGAGUAGUGGCGAAUAGGGAGGAGAUUGUGGUUAUUGGGGCAAACGCCCCAAGUGUGACUACUGUCACAAGUGGGGGCAUACUAAGGAUCAAUGUUAUAAGUUGCAUGGUCGCCCUCUUCGUGUUGAUGUUGCUCAUGUUGAUGGUUCUCGAUAUGAGUCAUUUGAUAGUCAUCCACCGCAAUCUGUCAUUCUCACUGGGGUUGACUAUGAUGAGUAUCUCAAGUACAAGACAUCCCAGCAAUCCUCAUCCACAGUUGCUUCUAUUGCCCAUUCUGGUGAUUACACUGCUUGUCUCGCUCAGUCAUCCCCUUUAGGACCGUGGGUCUUGGACUUAGGUGCUUCUAACCAUAUCUCUGGUAAUCCCCAUUUGUUCUCUGAUUUUACUAAUUUUAUUUCUUUACCUUCUGUAACAUUAGCCAAUGGGUCCAAAGCUGUUGCUAAAGCUGUUGGCAUUGCCAAACCCUUACCUUCUCUGCCUUUAGAUUUUGUUCUUUAUCUUUGUCAUUGUCCCUUUAAUCUUGUCUCUGUUAGUAAACUUACUUGUGCCUUAAAUUAUUCUAUCACCUUUGAUCACCAUUUUGUUACUAUCAAGGAUCGCGAUACGGGACAAAUGAUUGGCGUCGGAUGUGAGUUGCAGGGUCUCUAUCAUCUAAACCUUCCUGCAGCUCCUGUUACUUGCUUGGUGACUGGGUCUCCUCAGUGUUGUUAAAGGCGCAAGGCCCCUUAAGGCGCAACCAUCUCGCCUUGCCAUGCCCAGGCGAGGAGAGAUCCAGCCAAGCGCACCUAGGCCCUUCAGGUGGACCUCCCCCAGGCGCACCUCCCUCAGGCGCAGUUGAAAAAUCAGCAUGUUUUAUUUUUUAAACAUUUUUCUGUUAAAACUUAAACAGAAAGAAAAUAAUAAAAUACAAUAUUAAAAAAUCAACAAAACUCAAAAAUAUCAUCAUGCUCCAGCUCAUCUGAUUUCUAGAAGGCCAAAAGACUACACCUCCACACCAAUUGUCUUACGCAACAACACUCUCUUCUCACGCAACACAACAAGCCAGUAACUGCAACUCUUCAAGUUCUUCUCCAGUUCUGAUUGAGGUGCUUCACUGCUUCUCCAGGCCAAGGUAACAUAUCGACAAUCCCUUCUUCUUCUUCUGCUAUCCUUCUUCGGCAAUCCUUGUUGCUUCUUCUUCUUCUUCUUCUUCGACAAUCCUUGUUGCUUCUUCUUCUUCUUAUUAUUAUUAUUAUGCGGAUGCUUCUUAAUCUUACGUUGCUACUAUCCUUCUUCUUCUUCUUACACGGCUGCUUCUUACGUUGUUGCUAUCCUCCUGCUCCUUCUUCUUCUUAUUACACGAAUGCUUCUGAAUCUUACGUUGCUGCUAAACUUCCUCUUCUUCUUCUUCUUCUUCUUACGCUGCUGCUACUGCUAGCCUGCUUCUUUUUCUUCUUCUUCUUCUUUCUUAUGCUGCUACUGCUACUUCUUCUUCUUCUUCUUCAGUUCUUUUUUUUUUUUUUUAAUUUUUAUUUGUUGAUGCCUGCUGCUGCUGCUUCUUCUUCGUUUUUCUUUUAUUUGUUAAUGCCUGCUGUUGUUGCCUCUUUCUUCUUGUUGUCCUGCAUCAGUUCUCCAUUCCCGAAAAUCCCACCACUAAUUAGAAUUCUUUUUCAACCCUUCCCUUCCUUGGUUGAAAUUCAGCCACUUAUUGAUCCAUGCUUCUUUUCAGAAUUUUUUUACAAUGUUUUUUCAAAUUUAUGAUUCCUUGCUUAUGAUGAUUAUAGCAGAUAUCCUAAUCCUAAUGGCAUCUGAUUCAAAUGCUCCUAGUGGCUCCUCUAGCCGUGGUAGAAAAGAUCCAACAUGGAAAUAUAACACAGUGCUAGAUCCAAAUGACAUAAACUCUUUAAAAUGUAAUUUUUGUGAAAAAAUAACGAAAUGAGGGGUUUACCGAGUUAAACAACACCUUGUUGGAGGGUAUAGGAAUGCCAAAGUUUGUCCAAAAUGUCCUUUACAUGUUAAAGAAGAAAUUAGAGAGUAUAUGUCGAAAACGCUAGAAGAGAAGAAUAAUAGUGAUGUUAUACCAGAUUUUGACGACAUUGAUACUCUUGGAGAUGAUGAUGAUGAUGAAGUGGUUUUUGAAAGAAGUGUUAAAAGGCCUAUGUCUUCAAGUUCAAGUCAAGGUUUAACUAUGCAACAAAAAAAGCAAAGGAUGAAAGGGCCUUUGGAUUUGCUUUUGCCUCCUAAACCUAAAGUGAGCAUUGGGAAGCAAACAACAAUGGAGACCCAUGUCAAUAAAGAACUAAGGGAGAAUGCUUGUGUUUGGUUUUCAGGAUGGAUGUAUGAAGCUAGCUUGUCUUUCAAUGCAGUCAAGUAUCCAAGAUUUAAGCCAAUGAUUGAGGCUAUUGGUUGAGUUGGUCCAGGCAUGAAACCUCCUAGUUAUCAUGAGGUGAGAGUUCCUUAUCUUAAGAAGGAGUUGGUACGCACAAAUGAAAUUAUGAAGAGUCAUAAGGAGGAUUGGCCUAAAUAUGGAUGUUCCCUUAUGUGUGAUGGUUGGAAGGAUAAGAGAGAGAGAGAUCUUUGCUUAACUUUUUGGUAAAUUGUCCAAAGGGAAGCAUGUUCAUUAGAUCCAUUGAUACUUCCUCAUAUGCCAAGGAUGCUGUUAAAAUAUUUCAAUUACUUGACCAGUUUGUAGAGGAAGUACGUGAAGUAAAUGUGGUUCAAGUUGUCACUGAUAAUCCCUCGGCUAAUGUUUUAGCUGGUAAGUUUGCUAUUUUUUAACUUUUACCUUUGAAUGAUGUUGAUGUUGUUAGUUUAAUGAUAGAUUUUUAACUUGUCUUAUAGGAGACUUCUUAAUGGCUAAGCGAAAGCACUUAUAUUGGACACCAUGUGCUGCCCAUUGCUUAGACUUAAUGUUAGAAGAUAUUUUUAAACUUCCUAUAUUGAAGAAGACUUUUCAAAAAGCAUGUGCAGUAAAUGGAUUCUUGUAUAGCUUUACACAAGUGUUGAAUAUGAUGAGAACAUUCACAAAAAAGAGAGAGAUGCUAAGACUUGAGAAAACAAGAUUUGCCACGGCUUUCCUCACCCUUUCAAGACUUCAUAAACAAAAAGCCAACUUGAGGAAGAUGUUCACUUCAGAAGAGUGGACUAACUCUAAAUUUGUAAGAGAAGCACAUGGUAAGCUCGCAUCUCAAACAGUGUUACAAGAUUCAUUUUGGAAAAAUGUUCUUUAUGCUCUCAAGGUGUCAGACUACUUGUCAAGGUACUUAGAGUGGUAGAUAAUGGGGAUAAGCCUACUAUGCCUUAUAUUUAUGAGGCUAUAGAUAGGGCAAAAGAAGCCAUUGCAAAAUCUUUUGAUGAUGAAAGGAAAUACAAGCAAAUAUUUGAAAUCAUUGAUGGGAGGUGGAAUAUUCAAUUGCAUCGUCCUUUACAUGCAACUGGAUAUUACUUGAAUCCAGAAUUUUUUAUUCAAAUGCAAGCAUUGGAGAAGAUCAAGAGAUUAUUGAUGGGUUGUAUCAAACCAUAGAGAGGUUAGAUCCCACUGCAGAGGUGCAAGACAAAAUUUCUAAAGAGCUAAGCUUGUAUAAAAAUAUUGAAGGGAUAUUUGGAAAACAAAUAUACAUAAGAGGAAGGAAUCAAUUGGCACCAGAUAAUAUGGUUUUUUAAUUAAUAAUCUAAGUAAGUCUAAUCAUUAGUCUACAACUAGCAAUUUUCAAUUACUGAUUAUGGUAUUUUUUUUCCUAGUUGAAUGGUGGUCUCAAUUUGGUACUGCAACCCCUAAUUUGCAAAAGUUUGCCAUCAAGAUAUGUAGCCUCACUUGUAGCUCUUCAGGUUGUGAAAGGAAUUGGAGUGUCUUUGAGCAUCUUCACAGCAAAAAAAGAAAUCGAUUGAAGCAACGUCUCAAUGAUUUGGUAUUUGUCAAGUAUAAUAGAGCUUUGAGACGUCAUUUCAGUUUGCGUAAAUCAAUUGAUCCAAUUUCUUUAGAUGAAGUUGAUGAAAGUAAUGAGUGGUUGCUUGGGGCAAUUGAUAAAUUUGGAGAGUCAGAUGAUGAGCUGGUACAUGAAGAUCAUGAUUUGACAUGGGCUGAUGUUGCUAUGGCAUCUGGUGUUGAAGAAGCUAAUCACUCAACUAGAUCAAAAGCGACUUCAACUUCAAAUUUGACAAGGGGGAGGGGGACAAGGGCAUCAACUUCAAAUGCUCCAAUGGAUCUUGACGAGGAAGAAGAA